GAACCCCUAAUAAUUAAAGCUGCAAGCAGCAUUUACCGGGGUUCAAGCACAUUAAGGCCUCUGAGGUGGUCAGAGCCAACCUGGAUGUAUGGAUGACAGUUAAACACAUCCAAAAUGGAGAACAGGCUAACAGACAGACACGCACACUGAAAGUAAAUGAUUAGACUAAUAUAUGUAUACUCUAUAAGCAUAUGCACAAACACACACACACACACACACACACAAAGACACACAAAGAUACACAUAUACAUGCACAAACAUUUUGUGGCAGAUAUAGGUAUUUGAUAAAAAGUGAUAGGUGACAAUAAGCUUAUUGCAAGUCUUCUCUUUUUUUAGAGUUUAGAUGUCAUUUUCAGAUUAAACUGUAAUCAUAAUGUGGCAAAAUUGUUAAAACUGAUACAUCUGUAUGAACAAAAUGGAAAACAUCAAUUCAAUGAGAUACAAAAUGUUAUAACAGUUAAUUUAUUAAUGUUUUGGCAUGAAUUCAUAAAAACAGUACUAGCUGAAAGAGCCCAUUAGUGGUCUUCCGCUGCCAUCUAGUGGUUAUAAAUUGCAUUUACUCAAACAACACUGUGUUUUUAAACAUAACUGUUAAAGUGUUGUUGUUGGGUUUUUUUGCCCUAUCUCUCUUAAAUGUUGCAUGCUUGUUUAGAAUGAAAUUAUGCAUUACUUUACACAGUUUUGAUAAUUUGUGGGAUUUCUGUUUGUAUUAAUAGGUCUUUGUGCCUCUGGGGUGGUCUCGGCCAACCAGGAUGUAUGGAUGACAUUUAAAUACAUCCAAAAGACAGACACACACACACUGAAAUUAAAUGAUUAAACUAGUUUUUAAGAGUUUAGAUGUCAUUCAGGUUUCACUGUAAUCACAAUGUGGCAAAAUUGUAAAAAAUGAUGUGUCUGUAUGAACAAAAUGGAAAACAUUGAUUCAAUAAGAUGUAACAUGUUAUAACAGUUAAUUUAUUAAUGUUUUGGCAUGAAUUCAUGAAUCCUUUCUACAGUACUGUUCAUUUUAACUGAAUGAGCCCAUUAGUGGUCUUCCGCUGCCAUCUAGUGGUUAUAAAUUGCAUUUACUGAAACAACACUGUGUUUCUAAACAUAACUGUUAUAGUGUUGUUAUUUUUUUAUUUUUGCCCAAUCUCUCUUAAAUUUUGCAUGCUUGUUUAGAAUGAAAUCAUGCAUUAUUUUACACAGUUUUGAUCAUUUGUGGGAUUUCUGUUUGUAUUAAUAGGCCUUUGUGUACACUAUGCAAAUAACAUAAUAUAAAAUUACUGGUUUAUAGUUGUCUAAAUGCAAUUGUUCAACAUGUUUUUGAUAAUUAUUGACCUUCAGAGUCUAGAGAAUUGUACUUCAGUGGUUUUAUUGAUUUUCAUCUUAUACCCGAUCACUAGUUUGCCAAAGUACCUUUUUAAAAUAAUCUUGAAUGUUUAAUUAACAGCUUUAUUGACAACGUUGGUCCCAGAGGCAAAGUUGUUCAGAAUGAGGAUAUUUAUCAAAUGAUAUAAAGAUUUAGUGUUUUUGAGUGAAUAUAUGAGCAUUUACAAACAAUUUGAGGCCAUUUACCAUAUAAAUCUUGUGUUUUGAGACCUUUUCUACUGUUAUAGCGCCACCUAUGGUCUGAUCUCCAUGAAACUUUGCAUGCUUGUUAAGAGUCAUCUGUUACAUGAUUUCACUGAGUUUCAUAAAGUAUUGAGUUUUCGUUAAGGUUUUAUAGGCUUUGGGGUAUGUUUGGCCACACCCCUUUUUCUAAAUUACCUCUUUACAGCUGACCAAAGGACAAAAUUCAACAUUUUUUUAAUAAUUAUUGAUCUAGAGAGUCCACAGAAUAUUACUGCAGUGGUUUGGUUCCGAUCGGACAAAAAACCUAGGACUAGUUCGCAAAAGUAGGUUUUUAACAUAUUUGUGAAUAACAAUUGAAUGAUUUGAUUGACAGCAAUGGUUCUUGAGGCAAAGUUGUGCAUUAUGAGGAGAUCUAUCAAAUGAUAUGCAUACUGUGUUGAUAUGUGAAACACCACGUGAUUACAGAGCCAUAAAACUCGUUAGCGCCAACUAGUGGCCGAUUUCUUUCAAAAUUCUUACAGACCUUAAGGUUCAUGAGUCGAACGUACCCAGCGAGUUUCGUUCCGAUCAACAUCCGUUAACCCUU